rnacentral:rRNA from 1 species
CCUACGGGAGGCUGCAGUGAGGAAUAUUGGUCAAUGGGCGGAAGCCUGAACCAGCCAAGUAGCGUGCAGGAUGACGGCCCUACGGGUUGUAAACUGCUUUUAUACGGGAAUAACGCGCCUUACGUGGAGGGCUUUGCAUGUACCGUCUGAAUAAGGACCGGCUAAUUCCGUGCCAGCAGCCGCGGUAAUACGGAAGGUCCGGGCGUUAUCCGGAUUUAUUGGGUUUAAAGGGAGCGUAGGCCGCAUGUCAAGCGUGCUGUGAAAUUUCCGGGCUCAACCCGGGCCUUGCAGCGCGAACUGGCGUGCUUGAGUCCGCGGAAAGCAGGCGGAAUUCGUGGUGUAGCGGUGAAAUGCUUAGAUAUGACGAAGAACCCCGAUUGCGAAGGCAGCUUGCUGCAGCGGAACUGACGCUGAUGCUCGAAAGCGCGGGUAUCGAACAGGAUUAGAUACCCGGGUAGUC